AUCUGCAUUUCGACCAAGUUCCUAGGUGAAGCUGAUCCUGCUGGUCUGGAGACCACCUUGGGGGAAGCACCUGUUCUGGUUCUAGCUCAGUGCUUCUGACCUUAAUCUGCAAGUGACCUGAGGAUCUUGAGAUUAUGAUUUGGUAGGACUGAAAUGGAGCCGAUGAACGUGCAGUUUUGAUAAGCUUCCGGUGGAUGCCACUGACACCGUUGGUCCCCAGACCAACAUACUUCGGAGGAAGGGUGGUGAGUCUUCAGAGACUACUGGUAGAAACCAACAUUUUUCUCACUUCUUCUUGGGUCUGAAAUCAGAGACUCAUGCUUCAGUUUCUGAAAAUUAGAUGCAUGAAAAUAUAUCUACGAGGGGAGUUUUGCUGAUUUCUUUCAUCCUUCUUCCUCCCCAGGAUUGGUCUGGCGCUCGUGGAAAGCUGAGCAGACACAGUGUCCCACACAGAUGUGGCUGGUGCCUGAGCUGGAGCACCGAAUGCCGGCACUGGCUGGGCACGUUUACAAACGGAGUGAGUAAAUCUCAAAUGUUUCUGGGCUCAGAGGAAGCUCAUUCUCACAGGACCAGCCAUACUAUGAGAUAAGCCCUUCACAACCCUAUCCCCGAAUCAGCGAUGAGGCACUGGGAGAGGCUUCUCUCAAGAAGAAUUCUCAAGGGCCAGAAUGAAUGGGCAGUAGGUGAAAUGACCAGACGUUCGGUUGCUGAAGGCACAGGUUAAGUAGAGGUAUCUACAGCCACAGGUGACCGGAAUAACCCCUGCCUCCUUCCUAUAAGCCCCUGAAAAAAAAGUGUGACAUUUCACUUGAAA